UUUUAACUUCAACUCUUCAUUCUCUCUUUCUAAUUUUCCAUGGUGGUAUUGAGUUCAUCAACCUCUUCAAUAGGGAUAUGGUUGAGUUUAGGUUCAGGAAGAGGUACAGGUAUCCGAGUGACGAAUGGCAUUUUGAUCAUCUCCACCCUUUCCUUUACCCAAUGAAAAUAUGGUUCUUUUGUAAUCCCAUUAGAUCUUCCCA
rnacentral:lncRNA from 1 species